GAUGAAGAACGUAGCGAAAUGCGAUACUUGGUGUGAAUUGCAGAAUCCCGUGAACCAUCGAGUCUUUGAACGCAAGUUGCGCCCGAAGCCAUUAGGCCGAGGGUACGCCUGCCUGGGCGUCACACGUCGUUGCCCCCCCAUCUACUCCUUCGGGAUUGCGGGGGGCGGAUGAUGGCCUCUCGUGCGCCUCGUCGCGCGGUUGGCCUAAAUGCCAAGUCCUCGGCGACGCACGCCACGACAAUCGGUGGUUGCGAAACCUCGGUUGCCUGUCGUGUGCGGUCGUCGCGCAUCGAGGGCUCGAAAAAAUUGCCGGGCUUCGGCUCGACUUUCAACGCGACCCCAGGUCAGGCGGGGUUACCCGCUGAAUUUAAGCAUAUCAAUAAGCGGAGGA
rnacentral:misc_RNA from 1 species